rnacentral:rRNA from 1 species
GAUCAUGGCUCAGGACGAACGCUGGCGGCGUGCUUAACACAUGCAAGUCGAACGAGAAUCUAAUGACGGAGUUUUCGGACAACUGAUUUAGAGGACAGUGGCGGACUGGUGAGUAACGCGUGAGGAACCUGCCUUUCAGGGGGGGACAACAGUUGGAAACGACUGCUAAUACCGCAUGAUGUGUAGCUGGGACAUCCCGGAUACACCAAAGAUUUAUCGCUGAAAGAUGGCCUCGCG